rnacentral:rRNA from 1 species
UGAGUAACCUGCCCUUAACUCUGGGAUAAGCCUGGGAAACUGGGUCUAAUACCGGAUAUGACUCCUCAUCGCAUGGUGGGGGGUGGAAAGCUUUAUUGUGGUUUUGGAUGGACUCGCGGCCUAUCAGCUUGUUGGUGAGGUAAUGGCUCACCAAGGCGACGACGGGUAGCCGGCCUGGAGAGGGUGACCGGCCACACGUGGGACUGAGACACGGCCCAGACUCCGUACGGGAGCAG